AUAUAAGAGCCGCGGUAUUUUGACCGUGCAAAGGUAGCAUAAUCAUUAGGGGCUUAAUUAGAACCUGGUAUGAAAGGUUGGACAAAGAAAAGACUGUCUUUAUAAUAAAACUUGAAAUUUACUUUUAAGUGAAAAGGCUUAAAUAUAUCAAAGGGACGAUAAGACCCUAUAAAGCUUUAUAAAUUAUUUAAAUUUAAUUAAUUUAACAAUUAAAAAUUAAGUUUAAUUGUUUUAUUUUAUUGGGGUGAUAUGAGUAUAAAUUUUGAUAACUGCUUAAAGUAAAUACAAAUAUAGGUGAAUUAACAAGUUUAUGAUCCUUUUUAGAGAUUAAAAGAUUAAGUUACUUUAGGGAUAACAGCGUUAUUUCUUUUGAGAGUUCAAAAUCGAAAGAGGAGAUUGCGACCUCGAUGUUGAAUUAAAAUAUCUAUAUAAUGCAGCUGUUAUAAAAGAAGGUCUGUUCGACCUUUAAAAUUUUUACGUGAUCU
rnacentral:rRNA from 1 species